rnacentral:rRNA from 1 species
UACGUAGGAGGCGAGCGUUGUCCGGAAUCACUGGGCGUAAAGCGCGUGUAGGCGGUACGGCAAGUCUGCUGUGAAAUCUCGUGGCUCAACUGCGAGGGGUCAGUGGAAACUGCCGUACUAGAGGACGGUAGAGGGGGGUGGAAUUCCCGGUGUAGUGGUGAAAUGCGUAGAGAUCGGGAGGAACACCAGCGGCGAAGGCGGCCCCCUGGGCCGCUCCUGACGCUGAGACGCGAAGGCCAGGGUAGCGAACGGG